GAUGAACGCUGGCGGCGUGCCUAAUACAUGCCAGUCGAGCGAACGGACGAGAAGCUUGCUUUUCUGAUGUUAGCGGCGGACGGGUGAGUAACACGUGGAUAACCUACCUAUAUGACUGGGAUAACUUCGGGAAACCGGAGCUAAUACCGGAUAAUAUUUUGAACCGCAUGGUUCAAAAGUGAAAGACGGUCUUGCUGUCACUUAUAGAUGGAUCCGCGCUACAUUAGCUAGUUGGUAAGGUAACGGCUUACCAAGGCAACGAUGCAUAGCCGACCUGAGAGGGUGAUCGGCCACACUGGAACUGAGACACGGUCCAGACUCCUACGGGAGGCAGCAGUAGGGAAUCUUCCGCAAUGGGCGAAAGCCUGACGGAGCAACGCCGCGUGAGUGAUGAAGGUCUUCGGAUCGUAAAACUCUGUUAUUAGGGAAGAACAUAUGUGUAAGUAACUGUGCACAUCUUGACGGUACCUAAUCAGAAAGCCACGGCUAACUACGUG
rnacentral:rRNA from 1 species